rnacentral:rRNA from 1 species
AGUUGUUGCGGUUAAAAAGCUCGUAGUUGAAAUUGUGCCUUGCGGCGUCGGUCUACCGACUGCGGUACGACAGGCGCGUCAGCGGGGCUUCUCGCCGGUGCGUCCUCCGCCCGAAGCGUUCAACGGCCGCGCCCGUCCCUCGGGGCGGGCCGGUCGCGCGCCGAGGCGGGCCGUCGCGGCUGUUUACUUUGAACAAAUUAGAGUGCUCAAAGCGGGCUCAUUCUCGCCUGAAUAUUGUACGCAUGGAAUAAUGGAAUAGGACCUCGGUUCUGUUUUGUUGGCUUUCUGAUACCGGAGGUAAUGAUUAAUAGGGACGACUGGGGGCAUUCGUAUUGCGACGUUAGAGGUGAAAUUCUUGGAUCGUCGCAAGACGGACUAAAGCGAAAGCAUUUGCCAAAGGUGUUUUCAUUAAUCAAGAACGAAAGUUAGAGGUUCGAAGGCGAUUAGAUACCGCUGUAGUUCUAACCAUAAAUGAUGCCAGCCAGCGAUCCGCCGUCGUUUUCAUCUAAAUAACCCGGUGGGCAGCUCCCGGGAAACCAAAGCUUUC